UGGAGCUGCACAGUUUGGAUCCUGUUUCAGUUUCAAAAGAGAGGUUUUCAACAGCAGUGACACCCAGUGAAGAACCAGAGAACUGCUCCUUCUAUUAAUAUUAGGCAGCAGUUCAUGAGGCAGCCCUAGAAGGGAAUUAUAGACUUGUGUUCAGAGGCGCUAACUUUCCCUCUUUCACGUGGGUGCUCUCCCAGAGCGUGCUAACGCUGCCAAGCAGUGGCUGGGCGGGAAAUACUGGGAGAUAGGCAGAGGAACAGGGACCCAGGGCGCUCAGGGAGGGAGGGGAGGUUAACUGCCAGUGGGUGUUCUAGCCCCAGAGCAGCCAUGGAAUCAGUGCCUAUGCUUGCAGUUAUCAAUGGCCCAGGCUCCCUCAUCCUUUAUCUGACACUGGGGUUCUGUGGCAGGGGGUCAGAUCCUUACUCAGUCAUUAACUGAAUUGCAGGAAUAUCUUGAACCUGCAAAACUGAGCUCGAAAUUUCUCUAGAACAAUAUUUGGAAUUUCUGGUCCUAGGAAGAACUAAGAAACAGAGAAGCAUCCAUGAAACUGCAAAAUAUCUUUAGAAUGCUACAACCUAUUUCUGUCUUUCUCUUUUUCUGACACUCUCUAAAAUAAAAGUAUCUUAAAAAUAUUGAAGACUGGUUUAAGCAAAAUAGCAAGCCAGAUUUUCCCCCCCAACCUCUGAAAUGUUUUUAGAUUCAGUUUAAGUUUUGUGUGGUGAGUUCUUAUUUUAUCUUGUCCAGUUCAUCCUGCUCUAGUUAUAAUUGCUAAUCUGUCUAUUUUAGGGUUUUAUACUGUGUCUCAUCCCUUCCACAUAAAAUCAGUAGCAAUAGUGAAGUCUUGAGUGGAUUUCACGGAGACAGGGGCACUUCAUGCUUUUUGGGUAAAACAUCUGUUUGGGGUAGGGUUUUUUGUUCUCAUAUUUUUAGAUUUUAUUAAUUUCCUCUUUUUUCUGUGAGGGUACGGGUUUACUGGAUAGAAGGUGUUGUCAGUGUUGUUACUCUUAUGCU